UUUUAGAAGAUGAGACUGUGUGACUUGGUUAUGUAGUUUCUAUGAAAGUAGAGCUGUGUUACCUAUAAUUUGCAUAGGUCUUUCCAAGCCUUAACUAUACAUCUAGGUUUUGUGAGGUAGCAUCUCAAGAUGCUUGUUGUAAUUAUGUGUACUAUAGGAGAAGACUUCUCUUCGGUUGAAGAGAGUUAUCAUUUUUUCCUCCUCCUGGCUGAAUAAUUGGUUCUUCAAAAAGAAUUAUCCUGUGCUAUCUCCACUCUUCACGAUAAAGGAUUGGAGUACAAGGAGUUUGAUCUGAAGAAGCUCAAGAGCAUUGCUUUCUAAAGUUAACCUUUUAGAUCUGUUCUACUGAUUUCAGAGCCUGCUAAAAACGCAGUUUCGGCAUUGUUGGACAUGUGCACUUUUUUUUUCUAAUUUCUUUUUAUUGGUUUAUACUUGUCCACUNNUUUUUUAUUAUGCUAGUUAUGCGCGAAACUAGUUUUGUUGGUUGGCUUAAUUACAAUUGCUAUGGGG
rnacentral:misc_RNA from 1 species